CAGAGCGGGUAAAAUCACUAUACUGAUCAUACGCUGUGGAAACACAUUCACACUAGCGCAGAGUGGGUAAAAUAACCAUAUGAAGUCAUACACUGUGGAAACACAUUCACACCAGUGCAGACGAGGGUAAAAUCACUUGGGUACUUUCUGGUGGUUUUAAAAAUAAUUUUGAAUAUACUGAAAUAUUUAAUACUAAAAUAAUAUGUCAAUGAAAGAAUUUAACUGAACUGAAUUUAACUUUUAAAAAUAUUUGAUAAUAAAAUUCGUUUUAUUUUGAAAAAUCAUGCUAUCAACUCAACUUAUAAAAUACGUAACUUCAAAAUUAAAUAAAUACUUAUUUCUAAAAAUAAAUAAAUUUAUCCACUCACAUAACACAAGCUGAACCUAAACUGGUCGAUAGGCUCUUCCAACUUCCUCGUCACCACCUGGAAUACAUAAUAAGAUGGCUAAUCAACUACUUUUAAAUUAAGAAACUUUAAAAUCUACUUCUAUAAUAGUUAACCAAAAUUGGUCGAUGCUCGAAUGAAUUCUCAAAUAUUCUUUUGAUCAAUGGAGCUAAUCCCACUUUCUAAUCCCUUUUCUAAUAACUAAUUUAUCAACAAAACCUUCUUCCCAAGUUAAAACUAAUUUUACUUUCCAAUGUAAUGAAACUAGUGACCAUAAUUUCCACCCAUCUAAUAUACAUUUGCUCCUUAAAAUCAACUCCCAAAUGAAAUAUUCCAUUUAUAUAAUCACUUCCACAAUUAAUUAAUUAAAAUCCCCAAAAUCGGAUUCUAGGGUUUCCAAAAUUUUCCUUGCCUAAACACCUUUUAAAACUGAAACAUAAUUAAUCCCUAAGCUUGAGCUCCAAAUCGUACAUAUAUCACAUAAAUUUAACAUUUUAUUUUUACAUGAUAAAACCCUAAAAAUUUUAAUAUAAACCAUACUUAAUCAUCUAAGACAAAUGGAAAAAUUAAACCCAACUUGAAGAUAUCAACCUUACCUCCUUUCCUUUUCUUUUUCCCCUUCUUCUUCCUUUUUCUUUUCUUUUUUUCCCUUUUUCUUUUCCUCUUUUUUCUCUUCUUUCUCGGCUGGUUCUGCUUCCCGUAAGGUGUGUGUGUGUUUUGGUGUGAAAAUGAGAAAAAAAAUGGGUCAAAGGUUGAAUUAAUUGUCCACAAUCCCAUAAUUGCAAAUUAAGUCCCUUAACUUUACUUUUUAGUAACCUUUAAUCCUUAAACUUUCAAAAGUAUAUAUAUAAAUUCCAAACUUUUAAAUAUAUCCAAUUCAGCCUUUAUAUUUUGCCAAUUGCAAAAUAAACCCAAAUAAAAUGAUUUGGUCAAUCAAGUCCCAAUAAAAAUAAUUUAUUUCAUACAAGUCCUCAUUGGACUUGACUUUGAAAAUUCCACUAUUGACUUUGACUAGAUAAAAAAUGUGGGUUGUAACACUUC
rnacentral:lncRNA from 1 species